UCUGCUGAUCAUGAAGAUGUGGUUGAUCAUGUUCUUGAUGGACUUGAUUCUGAUUAUGCCUCAGUUGCGGAGUCGAUGAAUGCUCGUGACAAACCCAUAUCCUUUAAGGAACUUCAUGAGAAACUCAUCAAUUAGGA